ACUGCUCAGUAACACGUGGACAACCUGCCCUUAGGUUGGGUAUAAACCCGGGAAACUGGGUAUAAUACCCGAUAGGUCUCGAUUGCUGGAAUGCAUCGAGAUUUAAAGCUCCGGCGCCCAAGGAUGGGUCUGCGGCCUAUCAGGUAGUAGUGGGUGUAGCGUACCUACUAGCCUACGACGGGUACGGGUUGUGAGAGCAAGAGCCCGGAGAUGGAUUCUGAGACACGAAUCCAGGCCCUACGGGGUGCAGCAGGCGCGAAAACUUUACAAUGCUGGCAACAGCGAUAAGGGAACCUCGAGUGCCAGGUUACAAAUCUGGCUGUCGAGAUGCCUAAAAAGCAUUUCAUAGCAAGGGCCGGGCAAGACCGGUGCCAGCCGCCGCGGUAACACCGGCGGCUCGAGUGGUAACCGUUAUUAUUGGGUCUAAAGGGUCUGUAGCCGGCCGGAUAAGUCUCUUGAGAAAUCUGGCAGCUUAACUGUCAGGCUUUCAGGAGAUACUGUCUGGCUCGAGGCCGGGAGAGGUGAGAGGUACUUCAGGGGUAGGGGUGAAAUCUUGUAAUCCUUGAAGGACCACCAGUGGCGAAGGCGUCUCACCAGAACGGACCUGACGGCAAGGGACGAAAGCUAGGGGCACGAACCGGAUUAGAUACCCGGGUAGUCCUAGCCGUAAACGAUACUCGCUAGGUGUCGGCCACGGUGCGACCGUUGUCGGUGCCGUAGGGAAGCCGUGAAGCGAGCCACCUGGGAAGUACGGCCGCAAGGCUGAAACUUAAAGGAAUUGGCGGGGGAGCAC
rnacentral:rRNA from 1 species